rnacentral:rRNA from 1 species
AUUGAACGCUGGCGGCAGGCCUAACACAUGCAAGUCGAGCGGAUGAAGGGAGCUUGCUCCCGGAUUCAGCGGCGGACGGGUGAGUAAUGCCUAGGAAUCUGCCUGGUAGUGGGGGAUAACGUCCGGAAACGGGCGCUAAUACCGCAUACGUCCUGAGGGAGAAAGUGGGGGAUCUUCGGACCUCACGCUAUCAGAUGAGCCUAGGUCGGAUUAGCUAGUUGGUGGGGUAAAGGCCUACCAAGGCGACGAUCCGCAACUGGUCUGAGAGGAUGAUCAGUCACACGGGAACUGAGACACGGUCCAGACUCCUACGGGAGGCAGCAGUGGGGAAUAUUGGACAAUGGGCGAAAGCCUGAUCCAGCCAUGCCGCGUGUGUGAAGAAGGUCUUCGGAUUGUAAAGCACUUUAAGUUGGGAGGAAGGGCAGUAAGUUAAUACCUUGCUGUUUUGACGUUACCAACAGAAUAAGCACCGGCUAACUUCGUG